UACGGAGGGUGCGAGCGUUGUCCGGAAUCACUGGGCGUAAAGGGCGCGUAGGUGGCGCGGAAAGUCAACGGUGAAAGUUCGGGGCUCAACCCUGAAUCGGCCGUCGAUACUGCUGCGCUUGAGCACUGUAGAGGCAGAUGGAAUUCCGGGUGUAGCGGUGGAAUGCGUAGAGAUCCGGAAGAACACCGGUGGCGAAGGCGGUCUGCUGGGCAGUAACUGACGCUGAGGAGCGAAAGCGUGGGGAGCGAACAGG
rnacentral:rRNA from 1 species